GAUGAACGCUGGCGGCGUGCUUAACACAUGCAAGUCGAACGAAGCACCUUGAUUUGAUUCUUCGGAUGAAGAUCUUGGUGACUGAGUGGCGGACGGGUGAGUAACGCGUGGGUAACCUGCCUCAUACAGGGGGAUAACAGUUAGAAAUGACUGCUAAUACCGCAUAAGACCACAGCACCGCAUGGUGCAGGGGUAAAAACUCCGGUGGUAUGAGAUGGACCCGCGUCUGAUUAGGUAGUUGGUGGGGUAACGGCCUACCAAGCCGACGAUCAGUAGCCGACAUGAGAGGGUGACCGGCCACAUUGGGACUGAGACACGGCCCAAACUCCUACGGGAGGCAGCAGUGGGGAAUAUUGCAACAUGGGGGAAACCAUGAUGCAGCGACGCCGCGUGAGCGAUGAAGUAUUUCGGUAUGUAAAGCUCUAUCAGCAGGGAAGAAAAUGACGGUACCUGACGAAGAAGCACCGGCUAAAUACGUA
rnacentral:rRNA from 1 species